rnacentral:rRNA from 1 species
CAGUCGCCGCGGGAAUACGGAGGGGGCUAGCGUUGUUCGGAAUUACUGGGCGUAGAGCGCACGUAGGCGGCUUGGUAAGUUAGGGGUGAAAGCCCGGAGCUCAACUCCGGAAUUGCCUUUAAGACUGCCGAGCUAGUAGGUGAGAGAGGUGAGUGGAAUUCCGAGUGUAGAGGUGAAAUUCGUAGAUAUUCGGAAAAACACCAGUGGCGAAGGCGGCUCACUGGCUCAUUCUAGACGCUGAGGUGCGAAAGCGUGGGGAGCAAACAGGAUUAGAUACCCCCGUAGUCCCUGUCUCUUAUAU